UACGUAGGGAGCAAGCGUUGUCCGGAAUCAUUGGGCGUAAAGCGCGCGUAGGUGGCCUCAUAAGUCCGCUGUGAAAGUCAAAGGCUCAACCUUUGAAAGCCGGUGGAUACUGUGAGGCUAGAGUACGGAAGAGGCGAGUGGAAUUCCUGGUGUAGCGGUGGAAUGCGCAGAUAUCAGGAGGAACACCAAUAGCGAAGGCGGCUACCUGGACCAGCACUGACACUGAGGCACGAAAGCGUGGGGAGCAAACAGG
rnacentral:rRNA from 1 species